UUGGAGGGCAAGUCUGGUGCCAGCAGCCGCGGUAAUUCCAGCUCCAAUAGCGUAUAUUAAAGUUGUUGCAGUUAAAAAGCUCGUAGUUGAAUUUCGGGAUUAGUACGCUGGUCGUGCCUUCGGUACGUACUGGUGUUACUGAUUUCUACCUUCUGACGAACCAUCAUGUCAUUAAUUUGGUGUGGGGGGAAUCAGGACUGUUACUUUGAAAAAAUUAGAGUGUUUAAAGCAGGCUCGCGCUUGAAUACAUUAGCAUGGAAUAAUGAAAUAGGACGUUGAUCCUAUUUUGUUGGUUUCUAGGAUUGACGUAAUGAUUAAUAGGGAUAGUUGGGGGCAUUAGUAUUCAAUUGUCAGAGGUGAAAUUCUUGGAUUUAUUGAAGACUAACUACUGCGAAAGCAUUUGCCAAGGAUGUUUUCAUUAAUCAAGAACGAAAGUUAGGGGAUCGAAGACGAUCAGAUACCGUCGUAGUCUUAACCAUAAACUAUGCCGACUAGGGAUCGGAUGAUGUUAUUUUUAAUGACUCAUUCGGCGCCUUACGGGAAAC
rnacentral:rRNA from 1 species